UAAAGGUCAAAAUCAUCAAAAGGUCAAGGCGCCCAUCAGCGAUGGAUCCAGAGACCUACAAGCUGGUGUUUGAUGCAUUGAGUAGUGGACAUCACGGGGCGACGAAGACUGCUAAGGAAGAAAACCAGAAAUGGCACAGAGUGAGUAGAUUUCUGCGAAAAUGGCCAGGUGUACGGAUACAGAAGAUUUACAACCCAGUUACAAGAAACUUGGAAGAUCGACUGGUUUUUCCCACUAAUGAUGCAUACAGAAUCAUCAUCAGGACAAAUGAAAUUGAUGAGAUAUUGGAAAGCUUCUAUCGUGAAACUAUAGGAGAUGGCGCACUCAAACUGACAAAGAGAAUUCAAAAGGUGUUUGUUGGUCUACAUAAGAGCGGGAUCCAAAAGUGGUUGAACAAGAAACCAUCGGUCCAGAAGAACAAGCCCCAAUUCCAAAACUGUGCACCACUAAUUCCUGUAGGGGCGUGCAGCGUAAUGGAAAGGAAUCAAGUGGACUUGGUGGACAUGAGGAGCGUAGGUGGAGAGGGUGAUUACAAUUAUAUUUUGAGUGUGAUUGAUGUCUUUAGCAGGUACUUGUUCCUGAAGGCACUUAAAUCGAAGACUUCAGAAGAGGUAGCUGGUGUUCUUGGAAAUGUAUAUGAUGUAUUUGGACCCCCCAAAAUCUUACAAGCAGACAGAGGGACGGAAUUUAAGGGUGCUGUUCGACUGCUCAUGAGUCGACUUGGUGUGCGAAUAAUCCUCAGUGCACCUUACAAACCAGAAUCACAAGGAAAAGCUGAACGUAGCCAUGCAUCAUGGAAGUCAAAACUUCGUCUACAACUUGAGGAGCUGAACGGCACCAAUGACAAUUUCCAGUGGAUUAAUUCACUUGAAACUGUGACAAGGCUGUAUAAUGAAGGAUAUCAUUCUUCCCUGGGUAUGUGCACUUGAUAAUUGCAAGAGCUGUAUGCAUGCUUCAAAGACAGGAGGACAGAUAUUUAUUAAGAAAUUGACUGAAAAUUGUGGCAAAUUAAUGAAUAUUGGGCAUUUCAUAUGAUAGCCUGAAAAUCCUGCCUUACUUAUCAAAAUCCCUGAAUCAUGUGCAGAUAAAUGGAUGAGCAGACAUGGGUACUAUUUUUUUUAAUCUGAAAAUGACUGCCCGAGGUUUGUUACCAAGAAAAUCUUAUAUUACAAAUUUUAAUGAGAUACUAUAAGGAUAUAAUGAACAUUAUUUACUGAAAGAUUUUGUGAAAUGUAAAAAAAUAUUCUAGUUGAAUAUUAGUACAAUAUCAUUAGGUGUGUAGACCUGAGAAAUACCAUCAUACUUGCUUUUAUAUCGCUUAACACUUUUUUUAUGUCAUAUAUAUUUACCUUACCGUAAAUCUUUUGUAUUGUAGUUUUAUGUAGUAUUGAUUUGCUUUGUACUUUGCUUUAUUUUGCUUGUUCUUCAAACCUUUUUUUUUGGAAAUAAGCAGAGAUCCAAGGUAAAGCAUUUUAGGUGAUAUAUAUUUACCUUAGCGUCAAGCUUAUGUCUUUUGUAUUGUAGGAGUUUUAUGUAGUAAUGAUUUGCUUUUUACUUUGCUUUAUUUUGCUUGUUCUUAAAAACAUUUUAUGGACAUAAGCAGAAAUCCACUCUGCAUGCAAGGUAAAGCAUUUCAUGUCAUAUAUAUUUACCUUACCGUAAAUCUUUUGUAUUGUAGUUUUAUGUAGUAUUGAUUUGCUUUAUACUUUGCUUUAUUUUGCUUGUUCUUCAAACCUUUUUUUUUUUGAUUAAGCAGAGAUCCAAGGUAAAGCAUUUUAGGUGAUAUAUAUUUACCUUAGCGUCAAGCUUAUGUCUUUUGUAUUGUAGGAGUUUUAUGGAGUAUUGAUUUGCUUUAUACUUUGCCUUAUUUUGCGUGUUCUUCAAAACAUUUUUAUGGAAAUAAGCAGAGAUCCACUCUGCCCCCAAGGUAAAAAGAAUUUUGGGUAAUAUUGUCUUACACCUUGGGUAUGUCAUCUUUGUCAUCCACAUUUUUGGUCUUUCUUAUUGUAGGAGUUAAACAGGUUGUGCAGGGUAUGCCAUUGAAACCAUAGAUAUAAUAUGGCUUUUGUCUUUCAUAUUUUUUUUACAGUUUUAUGAAAAAGUUUUUUACACCAUAUACAUAUUAUGCCAUAAUUUUUUCCUUCUUUAUUAUUUUGAAGAAUUUUAAAAGUAUAAAGACCACUUGGUUUGCUUUACAAUUACUUUGAUUCAUAGAAGCUAUUUUUGCACCUGUUUCUUGGAAAUAUUUUUUCUCUUUCUUUUUUAGCUCCCCUUUAUUAUUGAUUAAUGCCCAAAAGUAUACUAGUACAAGAAUAAACCCUCUGCAAAACAAACGUUUCAAAUUUUAUGCAAGGGUCCUGUCACAUGUAAUGAUUCAUGUUGUAUAUGGUUUUCAUGCAAUUUACAGGACUUCUUAUUGUAAAUUAAAAAGAAUCUAUUCCAGGGCAUCACUGGUAUGUAUCUCCUGUUGGUGACAAUGUUUGGAAGUGAACAUUGCACCCAAGUUCUCAAGUCAACCGUUUCUAAUUAGAAUAUCUCUUACAGUUUCAUUGAUAAAACUUGUAUAUCCAAUAUAUAUUCUUGUGGUAAUUUUGGUGAAAGAAAGACAUGAAAAAUUGAGUCUGUAACUGAUAUUUUACCUGUAUAAAUCCAUAAUGUUAUGGAUAUUCAUGUUUGUGCAAUCAUCAAUUUCAGUUUUCUGAAUGUAACAGGAUUGGGUCCUGGGUUUAGUGGUCAAGGAUUUGGGUUUGCGUCCCACCCCCGCCCCAAACAGCAAUAUAAUACAGUAAUGACUUGCCAUAUUAAUAUUGUUUUUUAACAACUCUGGUAUUUUUUUUCUUAUUGUAAGCGUUUUAUGUCAUAUAUAUAUUUUUUUUCACCAUAGAUAUAGUGCUUUUGUAUUUUGUAUUUAGGACUUACAUGGAGAAUUCAGUUGCUGUAUACUUACUAUUUUGUUUUGCGGUUUGGUUCUUAACAGAUCAUCAUUUUGCUAGUAGAUUUGUUUCUUUUCCUGCUCUUUUGUCUGUACAUAUAUUUUAUAAAAACUGCAAAUUUGUAGAGUAUUUGUUACUGGAUCACCACAGAAAGGAAAUUUUCAAGCCUGGAAAAGUACCAAUAACUGUAUAGAUACAUCUUAUUCAAUCUGCAUAAUCGAAAAAGGAAAUGAAAACAUCAUAAGUAUGCUGCAAAAUAUACUUAUUUUGUCAAAAACAUUUGACUCAAUUUAUGUACGAUUUCAUUAACUAAAUCUAAUUAUUGUUCAACAUCCAUGCCUUGCUCUUUAUGACAGCUAUUUUAUGUAGUAAACUGAAUUAUGUUUAUAUGUAACACCUUAUCAUAACUCCUUCCUAUAUUAUCCUUUAGAAAUAAAUUUGUUCAUACUGAAA